AAAUAAAUUUUUUAUGUUUUAUAAAUUUUAUUAUAAAUUUAUUUUACAUAUAAAUUUUAGUAUGAAAUUUUAAUUAUUUAAAUAAUAAUUAAUUAUUUAAGUAGUAAUUAGUAUUAAAAAUUUAAGAAAUUAAGAUUUAGUAAUAUAAAAAUUAAUAACUAAUUUUGUGCCAGCAGUUGCGGUUAUACAAAGAUUAAAUUAAAUUAUUUCAGUUUAUAAUAAAUAAUUUCAAAUUAAAAUAAAUAUUAAAUUAUUGGGUGAAAUUUUAAUUUAAUUAAAUUUUAUAUUUAAAUUAUGAUUUAGUAAAUUUUAAUAUAAACUAGGAUUAGAUACCCUAUUAUUAAAAAAUUAAUUUAUAAUACUAAAAUAGUAGAUAAUUAUUUAUUGAAACUUGAAUAAUAUGGCGGUAUUUUAGUUCAUUUAGAGGAAUCUGUUAAUUAAUUGAUAAUCCACGAAUAAAUUUACUUAAUUUUAAAUUUUGUAUAUCAUUGUUAAAAAAAUAUUUUUAAAUAAAAAUAAUAUUUAAAAUUUUAAAAAUAAAAUUAGUUCAGAUCAAGAUGCAGAUUAUAAUUAAGAUUAUAAUGGAUUACAAUAAAAUUAUUUAAAUGGAUAAUAUUAAUGAAAUUUAUAUUUGAAAGUGGAUUUAAAUGUAAUUUUAUUUAAUUUAUUAAAAUGAUUUAAAAUUAGAAUAUGUACAUAUUGCCCGUCACUUUCAUUUUAAAGUUGAAAUAAGUCGUAACAAAGUAGAUGUACUGGAAAGUGUAUCUAGAAAGAA
rnacentral:ncRNA from 1 species